rnacentral:lncRNA from 1 species
AAAUGCAGAUUCCCAGAGCCAGAAGCUAUCUUUUAAUUGAAGCCUAAUCAGUGUACAGUGGAGUUCAGUUCAACUUCUGAAGAGACAAAACAAAGGACAAAGUAAAUUGGAAGCCGAAGCCAUCAUUUUCCUCCUCCUUUUCCAACUUCAGUCCUGUUAAUGCUAAAUAGAUGGUGAGACAUAACAAGCCCAGAAAGCUCCGUGAC